rnacentral:rRNA from 1 species
CGCACAGUAAACGAUGUACAUCAGGUGUCUGGCCAUGAGGCUGGGUGCCGAAGUAAACGCGAUGAAUGUACCGCCUGGGGAGUAUGCCCGCAAGGGUGAAACUCAAAGGAAUUGACGGGGGCCCGCACAAGCGGUGGAGCAUGUGGUUUAAUUCGAUGGUACGCGAGGAACCUUACCUGGGUUUGACAUACACAGGAAUGAGACAGAGAUGUCUCAGCGUAGCAAUACGCCUGUGAACAGGUGC